UACCUGCAGCUCGAGUGGUAACCGCUAUUAUUGGGCCUAAAGCGUCCGUAGCCGGUUUGGUAAAUAUCUGGGUAAAUCGUGAGGCUUAACUUCACGAAUUUCGGAUAGACUGCCAGACUUGGGAUCGGGGGAGGUCAGAGGUACUCCAGGGGUAGCGGUGAAAUGUUGUAAUCCUUGGAGGACCACCGGUAGCGAAGGCGUCUGACUAGAACGAGUCCGACGGUGAGGGACGAACGGCCCUGGGGGCCGCAAACCGGAUUAGAGUACCCGGGUAGGUCCAGGGUGUAAACGGAUGUGGGCUUUGUAUUGGAGGUCCCACGUGGGCGUCCAGUGCAGAAGAGAAGUUGUUAAGCCCACCGCCUGGGAAGUACGGUCGCAAGGCUGAAACUUAAAGGAAUUGGCGGGGGAGCACAGCAACGGGAGGAGCGUGCGGUUU
rnacentral:rRNA from 1 species